rnacentral:rRNA from 1 species
AACGCAACGCUUAACGUUGCGCGUGCAGUGGGUACGGGCUGACUAGAGUGCAGUAGGGGAGUCUGGAAUUCCUGGUGUAGCGGUGAAAUGCGCAGAUAUCAGGAGGAACACCGGUGGCGAAGGCGGGACUCUGGGCUGUAACUGACACUGAGGAGCGAAAGCAUGGGGAGCGAACAGGAUUAGAUACCCUGGUAGUCCAUGCCGUAAACGUUGGGCACUAGGUGUGGGGGACAUUCCACGUUCUCCGCGCCGUAGCUAACGCAUUAAGUGCCCCGCCUGGGGAGUACGGUCGCAAGGCUAAAACUCAAAGGAAUUGACGGGGGCCCGCACAAGCGGCGGAGCAUGCGGAUUAAUUCGAUGCAACGCGAAGAACCUUACCAAGGCUUGACAUACACUGGACCGUUCUGGAAACAGUUCUUCUCUUUGGAGCUGGUGUACAGGUGGUGCAUGGUUGUCGUCAGCUCGUGUCGUGAGAUGUUGGGUUAAGUCCCGCAACGAGCGCAACCCUCGUUCUAUGUUGCCAGCACGUGAUGGUGGGAACUCAUAGGAGACUGCCGGGGUCAACUCGGAGGAAGGUGGGGGAUGACGUCAAAUCAUCAUGCCCUUUAUGUCUUGGGCUUCACGCAUGCUACAAUGG